UUAAAUUGAAGAGUUUGAUCAUGGCUCAGAUUGAACGCUGGCGGCAGGCCUAACACAUGCAAGUCGAACGGUAACAGGAAGCAGCUUGCUGUUUCGCUGACGAGUGGCGGACGGGUGAGUAAUGUCUGGGAAACUGCCUGA
rnacentral:rRNA from 2 species